UACGUAGGGGGCAAGCGUUGUCCGGAUUUAUUGGGCGUAAAGAGCGCGUAGGCGGCCCUGUAAGUCCGCUGUGAAAGUCAAGGGCUCAACCCUUGGAUGCCGGUGGAUACUGCAGGGCUAGAGUCCGGAAGAGGAGAGUGGAAUUCCUGGUGUAGCGGUGAAAUGCGCAGAUAUCAGGAAGAACACCCGUGGCGAAGGCGGCUCUCUGGGACGGUACUGACGCUGAGACGCGAAAGCGUGGGGAGCGAAACAGG
rnacentral:rRNA from 1 species